GUGCGAGACCGAUAGCGAACAAGUACCGUGAGGGAAAGAUGAAAAGAACUUUGAAAAGAGAGUUAAAGAGUACCUGAAACUGCUGAAAGGGAAGCGAAUCGUAUCCAGUGUCUAUAAUCCGUGGCAUAUUUCAUUGGCGUCUGUGCGCGUGCUCGGUGUCGGAAGUGGCUUUUGUCGCUCCGUGCUGUGUUUGUGCGUGCGGUUGCUGUUGCCCUGUGUCGCGGUGGGACGUCAGAGUCAGUUCGUAUGCUGCGGGAAAUGGCUAUCGAGGAGGUAGGUCGGGAGCUUGCUCUUGGCUGUUAUAUCUCGUUAGUUUGUUGUCGUGGUUGGGACUGAGGUGCCUAC
rnacentral:rRNA from 2 species